GGAAUUGUAGCCUAUUGGUUAGAGCGUCGGACUAACGACUCGAAGGUCGAGGGUUCGAUUUCCGAUUCCA
rnacentral:tRNA from 1 species